rnacentral:rRNA from 1 species
GAUGAACGCUGGCGGCGUGCUUAACACAUGCAAGUCGAACGGAAAGGCCCAAGCUUGCUUGGGUGCUCGAGUGGCGAACGGGUGAGUAACACGUGGGUGAUCUGCCCUGCACUUUGGGAUAAGCCUGGGAAACUGGGUCUAAUACCGGAUAGGACCAUCGUUUAGUGUCGGUGGUGGAAAGUUUUUCGGUGUGGGAUGAGCUCGCGGCCUAUCAGCUUGUCGGUGGGGUAAUGGCCUACCAAGGCGUCGACGGGUAGCCGGCCUGAGGGGGUGUACGGCCCACAUGGGGCAGGAGAGAGGGCCAGAACUCCUACGGGGGGAGGAGGGGGGAAAUUUGGCAAAAGGGGCGAAGGCUGGAGGAGGCGCCGCCGGGGGGGGGAGGAGGGCUUGGGGUUGUAAACCCCCUUCCCCAAGGGAGGAAGGGUUUUGGGAGGUUCUUGGGAGAAGAACCCCGGCCUAACUCCUU